rnacentral:antisense_RNA from 1 species
CUUGAUCGAGCCGAGCCAGAGGGGCUCGCCGGUGGAGCGGCCCUGCCCGUAGGUGGCCAGCAGGGCUUGGGCCUC